GAUGAACGCUAGCUACAGGCUUAACACAUGCAAGUCGAGGGAACGGCGCACGGGUGAGUAACACGUAUCCAACCUGCCCUUUACUCGGGGAUAGCCUUUCGAAAGAAAGAUUAAUACCCGAUAUAAAGGAUGGGGUGGCGUGCCAGUAGGUUGUGGGUGAGGUAACGGCCCACCAAGCCUUCGAUGGAUAGGGGUUCUGAGAGGAAGGUCCCCCACAUUGGAACUGAGACACGGUCCAAACUCCUACGGGGGGCAGCAGUGAUGAAUAUUGGGCAAUGGGCGUUAGCCUGAACCAGCCAAGUAGCGUGAAGGAUUAAGGCUUAUGGGUCGUAAACUUCUUUUAUAGAAGAAUAUGUAUUAUAUGAAUAAGGAUCGGCUAACUCCGUGUCAGCAGCCGCGGUAAUUC
rnacentral:rRNA from 1 species